GUAUAAGCUUUGGCCUGACUCAGAGCUUGAACAGCCAGCUACACUGUUAACAGUCGGAGUUUCCAAAGCGAACACAGGACCACCUGCCUGGUUGAUGGUCCAUUGGCCCCCAGCUUGUGGAAUUUGUGAAACAGCUCCCUCUGCCGGGCUACUACUGCAUUUAAUGCUUUCUGUGUCAGAACUUGGGAGAAAAUAGAUGGACCUGGAAAGUAUUACCUUAAGUGAAACACAUUUCCUAAGGAGCCUUCUGAAUGGAAGGUGUCUUAGAAGAGAAGGAAGGCAGCUAUCCUGAGAGUCUUCUCUAGAGAUAAGGCCUUCUCAAGGGCAUGAAGACUGUAGCUUUCUAAAAAUCCAGAUAAUGUAGGAGCUCACGACUGAUCAAUAGUUACCACUCCACCGAGCGGCUAAAAAGAUGUUUCACAUAACUAACCGCCCCUCAGGGAAAGGUGAUAAAAACCACAAAAAGAUGUGCAUACACAUACAAAGGGAGAAAAUUAUCAGGAUGUCUACCGUUGCUGCUUUCCUUGCUUUUAGUAAAUGCCAGUCAUGUUGCCAGAGUUGGAA
rnacentral:lncRNA from 1 species